rnacentral:rRNA from 1 species
UUCAUUCCUGAUGAGAAGUGAAAGGCGGCUUCUGCUGUCACUUACAGCAUGGGCAUGCGGCGCAUCAGCUAGUUGGUAAGGUAACGGCUUACCAAGGGCGACGAUGAGUAGCUGACAUGAGAGGGUGAUCGGCCACACUGGGACUGAGACACGGCCCAGACUCGUACGGGAGGCAGCAGUAGGGAAUCUUCCGCAAUGGACGAAAGUCUGAUGGAGCAACGCCGCGUGAGUGAUGAAGGUUUUCGGAUCGUAAAACUCUGUCGUUAGGGAAGAACAAGUACUAUAGUAACUGAUAGUACCUUGACGGUACCUAACCAGAAAGCCACGGCUAAUUACGUCCCAGCAGCCGCGGUAAUACGUAGGUGCCAAGCGUUUUCCGGAAUUAUUGGGCGUAAAGCGCUCGCGGGCGGUUCUUUAAGUCUGAUGUGAAAUCCUACGGUUCAACCGUAACCGUGCAUUGGAAACUGGGGAACUUGAGUGCAGAAGAGGAGAGUGGAAUUCCACGGGUAGCGGUGAAAUGCGUAGAGAUGUGGAGGAACACCAGUGGCGAAGGCGACUYUCUGGUCUGUAACUGACGCUGAGGAGCGAAAGCGUGGGGAGCGAACAGGUAUUAGAUACCCYGGUAGUCCACGCCGUAAACGAUGAGUGCUAGGUGUUAGGGGGUUUCCGCCCCUUAGUGCUGAAGUUAACGCAUUAAGCACUCCGCCUGGGGAGUACGGCCGCAAGGCUGAAACUCAAAAGAAUUGACGGGGGCCCGCACAAGCGGUGGAGCAUGUGGUUUAAUUCGAAGCAACGCGAAGAACCUUACCAGGUCUUGACAUCCUCUGAACACUCUAGAGAUAGAGUUUUCCCUUCGGGGACAGAGUGACAGGUGGUGCAUGGUUGUCGUCAGCUCGUGUCGUGAGAUGUUGGGUUAAGUCCCGCAACGAGCGCAACCCUUGAUCUUAGUUGCCAGCAUUAAGUUGGGCACUCUAAGGUGACUGCCGGUGACAAACCGGAGGAAGGUGGGGAUGACGUCAAAUCAUCAUGCCCCUUAUGACCUGGGCUACACACGUGCUACAAUGGAUGGAACAAAGGGAAGCGAACCCGCGAGGUCAAGCAAAUCCCACAAAACCAUUCUCAGUUCGGAUUGUAGGCUGCAACUCGCCUACAUGAAGCCGGAAUCGCUAGUAAUCGCGGAUCAGCAUGCCGCGGUGAAUACGUUCCCGGGCCUUGCACACCCCCGCCCCGUCAAAUAGU